UACGGGGGGGGCAAGCGUUGUCCGGAAUUACUGGGCGUAAAGGGCUCGUAGGCGGCCAACUAAGUCGGAUGUGAAAUCCCCAGGCUCAACCUGGGAACUGCAUCCGAUACUGGAUGGCUUGAAUCCGGGAGAGGGAUGCAGAAUUCCAGGUGUAGCGGUGAAAUGCGUAGAUAUCUGGAGGAAUACCGGUGGCGAAGGCGGCAUCCUGGACCGGCAUUGACGCUGAGGAGCGAAAGCCAGGGGAGCAAACGGG
rnacentral:rRNA from 1 species